rnacentral:tRNA from 1 species
GCUUAUCUAGCUUAGUUGGUAGAGUGUAAAACUUUUAACCUUGUGGUUAUGGGAUUGAGCCCCACGGUGGGCA